rnacentral:rRNA from 1 species
AUUUGAACCGCUGGCGGUAGGCUUAACACAUGCAAGUCGAGUGGAAACGAAGGAUAGCUUGCUAUUCUGGCGUCGAGCGGCGGACGGGUGAGUAAUGCUUGGGAAUCUGCCUAGUCGAGGGGGACAACAGUUGGAAACGACUGCUAAUACCGCAUACGACCUACGGGUGAAAGGGGGCCUCUUCUUGAAAGCUCUCGCGACUAGAUGAGCCCAAGUGGGAUUAGCUUGUUGGUGAGGUAAGGGCUCACCAAGGCGACGAUCCCUAGCUGGUCUGAGAGGAUGAUCAGCCACACUGGAACUGAGACACGGUCCAGACUCCUACGGGAGGCAGCAGUGGGGAAUAUUGCACAAUGGAGGAAACUCUGAUGCAGCCAUACCGCGUGGAUGAAGAAGGCCUUAGGGUUGUAAAGUACUUUCAGCGAGGAGGAAAGGUGAUAGCUUAAUACGUUAUCACUGUGACGUUACUCGCAGAAGAAGCACCGGCUAACACCGUCCAGCAACCGCGGUAAUACGGAGGGUGCAAGCGUUAAUCGGAAUUACAUGGGCGUAAAGCGCAUGCAGGCGGUUUGUUAAGCGAGAUGUGAAAGCCCCGGGCUCAACCUGGGAACUGCAUUUCGAACUGGCAAACUAGAGUUCUUGAGAGGGUGGUAGAAUUUCAGGUGUAGCGGUGAAAUGCGUAGAGAUCUGAAGGAAUACCAGUGGCGAAGGCGGCCACCUGGCAAGUAACUGACGCUCAGAUGCGAAAGCGUGGGUAGCAAACGGGAUUAGAUACCCCGGUAGUCCACGCCGUAAACGAUGUCUACUCGGAGUUUGGUUCCUUGAGAACUGGGAUCUUAAGCUAACGCAUUAAGUAGACCGCCUGGGGUGUACGGCCGCAAGGUUAAAACUCAAAUGAAUUGACGG